AUGGGUUCUCAUGGUUCCCCUGUCUCGAUUUAUUGGAAUGGCGAUUCGAGAAGGAACAUCAUCUUGUGGAUGGACCAUAGGGCUCUUGACCAAGCCGAGCGAAUUAAUUCUCACAAUUCACCGAUAUUGCAAUUUAAUGGUGGGAGUGUCUCCCCAGAAAUGCAAGCUCCAAAGAUCAGGUUAUAUUUCCUUGGUAGCAUGGCAGCAGCACCCAAUCAGACCACAACCUCGGCGGGUGUGCUCUGCAAUCUUGGCCACCGUCGGCAGGUACGACCUCCGCCGCCACUGAAAGCUACCCCUCCUCAUCACCAUCAACGCCGAGGCGACUUGGAUCAGGGAGCAUAUGGAGCGACACUUGCAGAGGCGAUGUCAGCGGCUGUCGAGUGCUGA
rnacentral:rRNA from 1 species